AUUAUCAGAGAUGUAUUUUAAUUUUUUGAAUUCAUUUCUUGGCCUUGAAGGCACUGAAGGAACCAAGGAACACAAUGGCUUCACUUAGUUGUUUAAGAUGCAUUCAUAAUAAUACAUAAAAUAAUUACGUUUUUAUGAGUUGGCGCCAUUUUGUUCAUGAUAUGGGCACUGCCAUUGUGUACAUAUGUGAUGAACUUGAGAGUUCCAAAGCACAAUAAGCACAAAAAUAGCUCAAAAUGCCCACUAGAAUGGGAAAC